UCGAGAAUCUUCCACAAUGGACGAAAGUCUGAUGGAGCGACGCCGCGUGAUGGAUGAAGUCCCUAGGGACGUAAACAUCUUUUAUGAGGGAGAAAGUUUAUUGAUAGUACCUCACGAAUAAGGGGUUGCUAAACUCGUGCCAGCAGCAGCGGUAAUACGAGUGCCCCGAGCGUUAUCCGGAAUCACUGGGCGUAAAGGGUGUCGAGGCGGUUGUAUUAGUCGUUCGUAAAAUCUACGAGCUUAACUUGUAGGCGGCGAACGAAACGGUACGACUUGAGGUUUGGAGAGGUGCGUGGAACUCACGGUGUAGGGGUGAAAUCCGUUGAUAUCGUGGGGAACACCAAAGGCGAAGGCAGCGCACUGGCCAAAAUCUGACGCUCACACACGAAAGCUAGGGUAGCGAAGAGGAUUAGAUACCCGCGUAGUCCCUGAGCGGGCUGGCAAGGCGCAU
rnacentral:rRNA from 1 species